rnacentral:ncRNA from 1 species
AGUGGGCCAUUUUUGGUAAGCAGAACUGGCGAUGCGGGAUGAACCGAAAGUCGAGUUACGGUGCCAAACUGCGCGCUAACCCAGAUCCCACAAAGGGUGUUGGUUGAUAAAGACAGCAGGACGGUGGUCAUGGAAGUCGAAAUCCGCUAAGGAGUGUGUAACAACUCACCUGCCGAAUCAACUAGCCCCGAAAAUGGAUGGCGCUGAAGCGCGCGAC